rnacentral:rRNA from 1 species
AUUGAACGCUGGCGGCAGGCUUAACACAUGCAAGUCGAGCGGGGGAAGGUAGCUUGCUACCGGACCUAGCGGCGGACGGGUGAGUAAUGCUUAGGAAUCUGCCUAUUAGUGGGGGACAACAUCUCGAAAGGGAUGCUAAUACCGCAUACGUCCUACGGGAGAAAGCAGGGGAUCUUCGGACCUUGCGCUAAUAGAUGAGCCUAAGUCGGAUUAGCUAGUUGGUGGGGUGAAGGCCUACCAAGGCGACGAUCUGUAGCGGGUCUGAGAGGAUGAUCCGCCACACUGGGACUGAGACACGGCCCAGACUCCUACGGGAGGCAGCAGUGGGGAAUAUUGGACAAUGGGGGGAACCCUGAUCCAGCCACGCCGCGUGUGUGAAGAAGGCCUAUGGUUGUAAAGCACUUUAAGCGAGGAGGAGGCUACUCUAGUUAAUACCUAGGGAUAGUGGACGUUACUCGCAGAAUAAGCACCGGCUAGCUCUGUGCCAGCCGCCGCGGUAA